AUUGAACGCUGGCGGCAGGCCUAACACAUGCAAGUCGAGCGAGCGGCGGACGGGUGAGUAAUGUCUGGGAAACUGCCUGAUGGAGGGGGAUAACUACUGGAAACGGUAGCUAAUACCGCAUACCAUCAGAUGUGCCCAGAUGGGAUUAGCUAGUAGGUGGGGUAACGGCUGACCUAGGCGACGAUCCCUAGCUGGUCUAAGAGGAUGACCAGCCACACUGAGACAUAGACACGGUCCAGACUUCUACAGGAGGCAGCAGUGGGAAAUAUAGCACAGUGGGCGCAAACCUAAUGCAGCCGUGCCGCGUGUGUGAAGAUGGCCUUCGGGUUGUAAAGCACUUUCAGCGGGGAGGCGUUACCCGCAGAAGGAGCACCGGCUAACUCCGUGCGAGCAGCCGCGGUAAUAC
rnacentral:rRNA from 1 species